UCUCCGUGGAUGCUGCAGGAGGCAAGGCUCUGGCCCUGCCCGCGGGGGAGUCAGAGGCUUCUGGCUCCAAGCCAAUCUCGUCUCUGAAGGGGCGGGAUUUUGUCCGCACAUUGCAUUCCCAUAUCCAUCCCCAGGAUCGGGAAGCGAUGAAAAAGAUGAAGCGGGCGACACUGGCUAACAGCCUCGGUCAGCUGUGCCUUCAGGUACCCUGCAUUAUUUACCUUGUUUUAGUGGUUUUGUUACUGACCUUAUGAUUUCUCUGCUCUGACAUUUUCCUUUGUUUCCCUACAGCUGGAGUCCCGGGUCGGGGAGGCAAU
rnacentral:lncRNA from 1 species